rnacentral:rRNA from 1 species
GACGAACGCUGGCGGCGUGCUUAACACAUGCAAGUCGAACGGAAAGGCCCUGCUUUUGUGGGGUGCUCGAGUGGCGAACGGGUGAGUAACACGUGAGUAACCUGCCCUUGACUUUGGGAUAACUUCAGGAAACUGGGGCUAAUACCGGAUAGGAGCUCCUGCUGCAUGGUGGGGGUUGGAAAGUUUCGGCGGUUGGGGAUGGACUCGCGGCUUAUCAGCUUGUUGGUGGGGUAGUGGCUUACCAAGGCUUUGACGGGUAGCCGGCCUGAGAGGGUGACCGGCCACAUUGGGACUGAGAUACGGCCCAGGCUCCUACGGGGGGCAGCAGUGGGGAAUAUUGCACAAUGGGCGGAAGCCUGAUGCAGCAACGCCGCGUGCGGGAUGACGGCCUUCGGGUUGUAAACCGCUUUCGCCUGUGACGAAGCGUGAGUGACGGUAAUGGGUAAAGAAGCACCGGCUAACUACGUGC